ACCACUUUAUCACACAAAAACGCAGUAAAAAGCAGAGGCUCUGAUCCAGCUUUGCUGCCUGGAAAAAGAAUGACUGUCAUAGACAACAAAGUUCUGGAUCUCGUCGACAAGGCAGAAUUCCACUCUCAACUCUGCAAAGAUUAGACUUUACAUUUAGUCUGCCAUUACCCUCUGACCUCAGUGAAAAGGAUGAAGGUGACCAGGUAUUCUCAUUCUUCAACCAAAGCAUGGCCACGGUUUUGAAUGGGCUGCUGCAUCCUCUGCCAGGGUGUGAUGCAGCAUCUGGAUUCUACUUGCUUCCGUGGUGAUUGGCAGAACCUCGCCGUUUCUUCCGGAAGAAAUUGCCAUUGCUGAUUCGGCAUGAAAUCACAUCCAAGAACAAUCCAGGGAACAGAAUCCAUUUGAGGCUGGACAUUCUGCAGUCUCUUGAACACUUCACCUUGCUGGUUUUGGGUUUCACUCUGUAACCCUGCUGUCCUGCAACUGACUACAUAGACCAGGAUGGCCUUGAACCCACAUAAACUUCCUUUCCUUCUGCAUCCCAAAUGCUGGAAUUAAAGAGAUAAAGAAGACACCUUUCAUAUCAGUAACUGGAAGACAGUCAAGGAAACCUCUCUGAGAUCCUGCAUGGAGCCCCACAUACAGCUUCCUGUUCCACUGGAAUCAGAGGCAGUUGGGGGAAAGUCUCAAAUCAUCACAUGGAGAAACAACCUCUACUACUUUUAAAUUCUUCUGAAGUGACUAACUUGAUGGUUGGAUAUGUGCUUCACACAUGUUCAGCAUUACAGUAGAGUAAUAAAUAACUAUGUUGUAAAGAUUUCCAAGGAUCAGCUUCUGCACUGCAUAGUUAUUAAUAAACCAAUAAAAUGUAA
rnacentral:lncRNA from 1 species